CAAAUGAACCACCUUAGGGUCGAGUCUUUGCUAUUGUUUUGAUGGCAUUGAUUCCUCUAGGGUAUAAACACCUGUGCACCGUAUCGUUUGAGACGUUAGGAGUUGGAAACGGGUAACACCGGGCCUACUCCUGGCGUUGUUGACAACCAACCUAUUAAUUCAAACUGAUUUUUUUCUAUACGAAAUAAAAA
rnacentral:misc_RNA from 1 species